GACGAACGCUGGCGGCGUGCUUAACACAUGCAAGUCGAACGGAAAGGCCCGUUUGGGGGUACUCGAGUGGCGAACGGGGGAGUAACACGUGAGUAACCUGCCCUUGACUUCGGGAUAACUUCAGGAAACUGGGGCUAAUACCGGAUAGGAAUCCUUGCUGCAUGGUGGGGGUUGGAAAGCUUCGGCGGUUUUGGAUGGACUCGCGGCUUAUCGGCUGGUUGGUGGGGUAGUGGCUUACCAAGGCUUUGACGGGUAGCCGGCCUGAGAGGGCGACCGGCCACAUAGGCACUGAGAGACGGCCCAGACUCCUACGGGAGGCAGCAGUGGGGAAUAUUGCACAAUGGGCGGAAGCCUGAUGCAGCAACGCCGCGUGCGGGAUGACGGCCUUCGGGUUGUAAACCGCUUUCAGCAGGGGCGAAGCUUGUGUUGACGGUACCUGCAGAAGAAGCACCGGCUAACUACGUG
rnacentral:rRNA from 1 species